GCCCGGCUAGCUCAGUGGGUAGAGCAUGAGACUCUUUAUCUCAGGGUCAUGGGUUUGAGCCCCAAUGUUGGGUG
rnacentral:tRNA from 1 species